UCCAGAGGACUCCAAGCACUCCACCAGACACCAUAAGCACCGCAGGCUGCAGCUAUCUCCCUUCAGAACGAAGCAGGAACAAGCUCUUACAAGAGCUCAGUGAUUAUAGCAAGGGAAUAUGCAUGGCAUAGCAAUCCCUUGUAGCAGAUUCCCCCAAUAAGAGACAGGACUCAAGUUGAGGGUAAAAAACAGGAACUCUCUGGCUGCUAGCUUGCAGCCCUUUUUAUUAGGUGCUCCCAUGAAGGGGAGGGACACACACAGUAACGUACAUUAACCAAUCACACAAUAGUUACAUCCCACACAUAGCCCUCCCCUCUACCUGUAAACUAAUUAUCUGUACACA